UACGGGGGGGCAAGCGUUGUUCGGAAUUACUGGGCGUAAAGGGCUCGUAGGCGGCCAACUAAGUCCGACGUGAAAUCCCCAGGCUUAACCUGGGAACUGCGUCGGAUACUGGAUGGCUUGAAUCCGGGAGAGGGAUGCGGAAUUCCAGGUGUAGCGGUGAAAUGCGUAGAUAUCUGGAGGAACACCGUGGCGAAGGCGGCCUGCUCUGGGACGGUACGUGACGCUGAGACGCGAAAGCGUGGGAGCGAACAGG
rnacentral:rRNA from 1 species